UCUAGUGCUAUUGAAAUCUUUUUUAAAGAAAUUAACCAGAUGCAUGUGCUACUUUUUGUAAUAUUUUUGCAGGAUGUUACUUUUUAUAAUUUUUUUUGAAAAUGCCACACGAUAGAUGAAUUUGAACCAAUUCAUUUCCAGUCACUGCAGAAGGGCAGCUCUCUCACCAUUAGUCAGUCAGAUGGUCUCUUCCACUGGGUUGGACAAGAAAGAAACAGGUGGACAGUUGGCUUGUAUUGAUGCUCUUAAAGUCAUAGGCAAAGACUUUGAGGGAUCCACGAUCUUUCCAUCUUGUGAUGACUUUGAUAUCUUAAUGCAU
rnacentral:lncRNA from 12 species